UGUUUUGAUGCUACCUGCUUUUGAUUUUGUGCUUCUAAAUGUCAACAGAUCAGCAUCUAUAGUUCAGUUUAAAUAAACAAGAUAAAUAUAUUCGGUCUACAUUAAAAUGGACAUAUUUAUUCACCAGACAAGCACAACUAGGUGGUAUAAAUGAGCUAUUUGCUUGGUGGGGAUACGCCAUGAUCCUAACGUUUCACCUCAGAAGAGAGGAGAAAGUUAAGAAAUCUGAGCGCUUUAAACACCUGAAUUCAUCUGCAGCCUCUCUGAGAGCAGCUACUUACAAACAGUUAGGUUCCGAACUCCACAAUGGCUUACUCACAUACAGCUACCAAGCUACUCUACAGGGUACUGCCUAAACGACUUUAAGAACAACUUUCGCAGUGAAAGCUGGAGAAGCAGAAGCGAAAUGAGAGCAAACCAUAACGAGACGAGCUCAGCAAGGAUGCCGGGGAGCGUUAUUUGGAUAAAUGAUCAUCUGUUAACGGCAACGAUGAGCUAAGCUGGUUGUGCAACCGUGUUGCGCUUGUAGCUGUAAAUGUUUGUAUCGUUCACAAAUAAAGUACAUAUAUUGAAAUGUUA